rnacentral:lncRNA from 13 species
GUUCUAAUCUCAGAGGAUGUGGGCCAGAGCAGUGUGGAUGGAAAAUGAGAAGGAAGUAGAAGGUAUUAUUCAGGGCACUGGAUCAAAGACUGUGUGGUGGCCCCCAAAUAAAUAGGACAAAGCAAGAAAGGAUUGGUCCACAACCUCUUCUGAUGAGAAAACUGACAUCAGCCUCACCCCACUUCGAAAUCACCGAAGCCAGUGAAGUAGAGAAGACCCCCCCCCCAAGAGAAACCAAAAGAAAACUACAUUCAAAGAAUGUAUAACUGGCCAAGGUUUACACCCCACCGAAAUAUGCUCCGAAACACUAGAAAACCUGUGCCACUGCUACCAAGAAGCAAAAGGCUAAAACGCAGCACAAAGCCACCAACUAAUGACAGUGAGGACGACCCUUCACAAUGCUUAUCCAAGCCCAACUAAAAUCUGCUCCCAAGUGCCAGAAAACCUGUGCCCAUGCCACUAAGAAGCAAAGUAUUGGUGGUAAGGGGAAAUGGCAAACUGAAACACCCAGCAAGCCACCAAGUAUUGUUGGUGAGGGGAAAUGGCAAACUGAAACACCCAGCAAGCCACCAAGUAUUGGUGGUGUGGGGAAAUGGCAAACUGAAACACCCAGCAAGCCACCAAGUAUUGUUGGUGUGGGGAAAUGGCAAACUGAAACACCCAGCAAGCCACCAAGUAUUGUUGGUGAGGGGAAAUGGCAAACUGAAACACCCAGCAAGCCACCAAGUAUUGUUGGUGUGGGGAAAUGGCAAACUGAAACACCCAGCAAGCC